rnacentral:misc_RNA from 1 species
CUCUAUGGAUGGUAACAAGGUGUUCAAAUAAUGUAUCUUUAGAAAUCAACUCCCUUUUGGGGUUAAAACGGGGGAUGUUACGUUGACUCACUAAUCACGAAAUCUCCGAAACUAUAAAGAUUACAAACUUGAAAUUUAGCAGGUAGGCUCCUUAUAGGGCGUAAUCUAUUGCUAAGAAUGGAUUUGACGAAACUCGACCCCUAAGGGGGUAAAACGGGGGUUGGAAGUUUGUAUGAAAGUCCCAUGUUUUUGAAGUAAGAGACUUGAAAUUUAAAAUGUAUGCUCUAUAGAUGGUAACAAGGUGCCCAAAUAAUGUUUCUUAGAAAUCAACUCCCUUUUGGGGUUAAAACGGGGGAUGUUACGUUGACCCACUCAU